rnacentral:lncRNA from 13 species
CGGGCAGAGGUUGACAUUGCAGAGCCAGAUGUCCUGCUGUAAGCUACUCCAUGCAGUUGUGGGUCUUUCUUGGUAUGGAGUUGGUGCUCAGCACCUGAGACCAGGUGGUCUUUCCGUUACAUGUUUGGCUGGGUUGAGGUGAGCACAGGGCUUUGCCUAAGCAGGGAUUUCUCUAUCUGUGGCUCUAAUCUGUAACCAGCCUUGGCUGUCACUUUUAGCUCUUUAAUAUCAUUUAACACUAAAACUCCAGCCUUCGAAGCCUUUCUUAAGCAAACCUAAAACAUCUAUACUUUUUUUCAGCACUUGCUUGACGCUUCAGAGCUGUUGAAAUCCCAGGCCAAAGAACUCAAAGAUGCCCAUCGGCAGCAAAAGCUGGCCCUGUGGGACUUCUUGGAGCUCAAUGAGCAUGGCAGAGCUCUGCUCCCAGAAGCAGGUGUGGGACAAAGAGGAGGAGAUGGAGGCAGCCAUGUAGAAAGUCAACACGACGUGGCAGGAGAACUGAAGAUCCAAGAAGCUCAGAAAGAGGAAGCUGUUUAGCCAGCUGGAAGCUUAGCUCAAGGAUGCUGUUGCUGAGGCCUCAAAGGAGUGCAGACUCUGUGAGCACAUCACCGACUUCAAGCAAACAGAAAGUGUGCCUGAGACCCUUGAGGCAGUGCUGGGUUACAGUCUUUACUCUUAACCCAAGACAGAAAUCUCAUCUUGCUGAGACCAGCUCAGCUAGUAAGCAAGAAACACCAGUGCUGAAGCUGGAAGUGUCCCCAUCAAUUUCUGUGACUGCAAGCACAGAACCUCAAGAAGUAAGACAGCAUUGUCCUGCUGAUGCUCUCACCUGGGUUCUGCCCUCGUGUCUAGGUGACACAGCUGCCCUUGGUGAACAGAAGCCACUCACCUGCUCCCUGUGUAGCAGCUUGCAGUGAAGAUCUCUGUCCAGUCACAAGAGCCCACCUUCCAUUUUGAGAAUGACUGUCAGUCCCUCAGCUAGAUGAGGGAGGCUUCUGCGAUCUUACUGAAGUGUAACAUCCAUACAACAAAUUGCACAGACCACAAGUGUGUAAUGUGAUGAAUUUUUACAAAGUGAAUAUGCCCAAAAACCCAGCACUCAGUUUGAGAAAUAGAACAUUAG